rnacentral:tRNA from 1 species
GCCCCCGUACUCCAACUGGCAGAGAGGGCGCUCUCAAACAGCGCACAGUGUGGGUUCGAAUCCCACCGGGGGCA